rnacentral:rRNA from 1 species
UACGUAGGGUGCGAGCGUUAAUCGGAAUUACUGGGCGUAAAGCGUGCGCAGGCGGCUUUGUAAGCCAGAUGUGAAAUCCCCGGGCUUAACCUGGGAAUGGCAUUUGGGACUGCAAGGCUGGAGUUUGGCAGAGGAGACUGGAAUUCCUGGUGUAGCAGUGAAAUGCGUAGAUAUCAGGGGGAACACCGAUGGCGAAGGCAGGUCUCUGGGCUGAAACUGACGCUCAUGCACGAAAGCGUGGGGAGCAAACAGG